GAUGAACGCUGGCGGCGUGCCUAACACAUGCAAGUCGAGCGGAAAAUUGUUGCUUGCUACCAUUCUUAGCGGCGGACGGGUGAGUAACACGUGGGCAACCCGCCCUAAACAAAGGGAUGACAAUGAGAAAUCAUUGCUAAUACCGAAUAAGCAUACACUAACGCAUGAUAGCGCAAGAAAAGAAUUAUCGGUUUAGGAGGGGCCCGCGUCUGGUUAGCUAGUUGGUGAGGUAAGGACUAACCAAGGCGGUGAGCAGGGGCCGACCUGAACGGGAGAACGGCCACAACGGGUCUGAGACGCGGCCCAAGCGCCUACGGGAGGCAGCAGUGAGGAAUAUUGCACAAAGGAGGAGUCUCUGAUGCAGCACCGCCGCGUGUAGGAAGAAGGUUUUCGGAUCGAAAAGUUCUAUCUAAAGGCAAGAAAAAAAUGACGGUACCGGAGUAAGAAGCCCCGGCUAACUACGUG
rnacentral:rRNA from 1 species